CGGCUCAACGACUUGCUUCAUUGUGAGAUGGUCGUGGCUGAGAGCAAGUAUCAGCCCUGCCUCCGUUGCAUAGCCAUUAAUUGCUGCUAUGGUGGGCAUCGGAAGGGAAAUCAAGUCUUUUACCACAUCCUUGAAGCCAUCAUUCAUUUCUUUGUAUGCUUUAUCCUCUGAGCCUCCAGCAUGGGACCGGACAUACCUGAUCGAGUUGAUACACCACAACUUAUUUGUCACGAAAUGAGCCACCCUGAGCGGUGGUAAUGAGGACGGAGCCCGGGGUGGCCUUGGACUUGACAUUCACCUCUUCAAGAUAACCUCGGAACGAGUCAAUGACUGUUGGGUUCAAAAGAUGCUGAUCUCUUUUGUGGGUUUCGAGCAGAGUGAGUACGAGGGAGUGGCGGAAUUGUUCUAGCCUGAACUUGGUGCACUGCCUUAUUAAGGUUAUCUUCAUGUUAGACUGGUCACGGACUUGGUGGUAAAGGUGGUUUUGGUAGGUAGCAACGAGGAAGAUAGGCCAAUUUGGUUCUUUAGAAGAUAAUGCAAGCCUUUUCUUACACAAUUUUCACUGCGAGUAUUUAUAUGUAUCAGGUUAUUCUAAUGUAUGCCGUAAGGUUCAGGAUAAGAGGUGAAUUAGGUGUUGCUUUGUUACCAAAUAUAUAAAUUUUUUGUAAAA